GGGGGCGAUCUGGAUUCGACGGGAGUGUAGAGACCAAGGUUGCAUGCACGGGAUGCCGUUGGCCCGUAAAAAAACGGCACCAUACAUAAUCGCCAAUGAUUAUGAAGUAGCUGUAGCCGCGUAAACUCGUUUUACCUGGUUACCGUUCCCUAGACUUUCGUUUGUGAGGUUUAGAAGAACGUCAUUUUAGCAAACGAGCUUUGUGCCCAGUGUCUCGGGGGUACGAGGUGUGGGAGAGGCUGGUCUGGGUGCAAUCCUGCCCGCGGGAGUAGCCCAGACGAGACCCAAAGCGCGGGAUAAGCAUGUAGACGCCUUACGUCAAAAACUUUCGGACGGGGGUUCAAUUCCCCCCGCCUCCACCA
rnacentral:tmRNA from 1 species